CCGGAGCUUGCUCCACCGGGAAAAGAGGAGUGGCGAACGGGUGAGUAACACGUGGGUAACCUGCCCAUCAGAAGGGGAUAACACUUGGAAACAGGUGCUAAUACCGUAUAACAAUCGAAACCGCAUGGUUUCGUUUUGAAAGGCGCUUUACGGUGCCGCUGAUGGAUGGACCCGCGGUGCAUUAGCUAGUUGGUGAGGUAACGGCUCACCAAGGCCACGAUGCAUAGCCGACCUGAGAGGGUGAUCGGCCACAUUGGGACUGAGACACGGCCCAAACUCCUACGGGAGGCAGCAGUAGGGAAUCUUCGGCAAUGGACGAAAGUCUGACCGAGCAACGCCGCGUGAGUGAAGAAGGUUUUCGGAUCGUAAAACUCUGUUGUUAGAGAAGAACAAGGGUGAGAGUAACUGUUCACCCCUUGACGGUAUCUAACCAGAAAGCCGAGCGGCUAACUACGUGCCAGCGAUGCCGCGGUAAUAC
rnacentral:rRNA from 1 species